UGGGGAAUAUUGCACAAUGGGGGAAACCCUGAUGCAGCGACGCCGCGUGAGCGAAGAAGGCUUUCGGGUCGUAAAGCUCUGUCCUAUGAGAAGAUAAUGACGGUAUCAUAGGAGGAAGCCCUGGCUAAAUACGUGCCAGCAGCCGCGGUAAUACGUAUGGGGCGAGCGUUGUCCGGAAUUAUUGGGCGUAAAGGGUACGUAGGCGGUUUUUUAAGUCAGGUGUCAAAGCGUGGAGCUUAACUCCAUUAAGCACUUGAAACUGAAAGACUUGAGUGAAGGAGAGGAAAGUGGAAUUCCUAGUGUAGCGGUGAAAUGCGUAGAUAUUAGGAGGAAUACCGGUGGCGAAGGCGACUUUCUGGACUUUUACUGACGCUCAGGUACGAAAGCGUGGGGAGCAAACAGG
rnacentral:rRNA from 1 species